rnacentral:misc_RNA from 1 species
AUUGAGUGUUGUUGACAGUUGAUUAGCUGGAAGCAUUUGCUGAUUUGCUCUUUCUGUGUGUUUUUUUACCUCUUCUUCCAUUAAGUUUAACAGAGCAGAAGUUCAGCAACAAUCAAAUAUAGCUGGAAAACAAGUGUAAUGGCGGUAGAGCUUGUCAACUCUGCAACAAGUGACAAACUCACUGAAAUAGAUUGGACAAAAAAUAUUGAAAUAUGUGAAU